GUAAGGCGCAGAGAAGUCGUGGGGGAGGUGGCAUCUUCCCUGGGCCGCGUGCGAAAUCCGGGCUCCCCGCCCCCACCCGCGCACACACACCCCUUUUUCGCUGCCUCGCAGCUGUGUACGAACCGACACGGUCCUUGGCGACCAAGGGACUGGAACGGGCGUCGCGGAUUAUCACCGCCUCUGUCAGCAGCGCGGCGCGCGCCCGCAGACUAGUCCGCGCUAGCCGGGACCCCGGUCCGCUGCCUUAGCCCCGAAAAGGCCGUGUGGGGGCGGGGCGGGGCGGUGGGGUCAGAAGCGCGGUCUCGCGGGGGUGCGUUAGUGCGCCUCCCCUCCCCGGCCUCAUCGAAGUAAAUGAUUUUCCAAAGGUCAGUCUCCCUGUGCGCGUUUGGGCUCUGAUUUUUGUUUUGGGGUGGUUUUUUUUUAAUAUUUAUUUCUGUGCUUUUCCAGUUGGGGAAGGGAGAGGCGCCUGGGCAGAGCUGAACUGGGGUAGGGAGGUUCGUGGUAAAGCGGGGCUCGCAGGGACGGCGAGGGCUCUUCGCAAGCAGGGUUUCCUGGUCCUGGAACGGACAGAAGCAAAUUGCAAACAGAGCAACUUCCAGCCAGCCCCUACCCCAGGCUCCCACUGAGACUUCCUCACUGGUGACCGUGCAGUGAGGAACCAGAGUACAGGACAGGAGACGUGGAAAAGGCAGGAGACACGCCUGAGACAGAGAUGGGGUCCGGAUCUUAGGGGCCGCUCGGGCAGAGCGCGACGCUGGUCUGGGGGUCCUGCUCCAUGCCCCUCCCCAGGGCCCAGACUCAAAGUCCUUCCCUCCUCCCCUCGCCCACUGCCACCCCAGGGGACAUGAAGUAGACCAAGAAGUAGGUGCCGCAGCCACUCAAGUAGCUUCCCCACGAUGACUCUGAGGGAGGAUCUCCCUUACUCCAAGCCACUUUCCACGUUUACUGAAUCACUUGUUUUUCAGUCUAUAACUUAAAUAUUGAACCAAAGUCUUAUGAAUCAUUGCAUUUUUUGUGUUCAAAUCACCUGCACGUGGCCAGAUCUCUCUGCUCUUAACAAAAAGCCCCUGCUUCGACCAACCCCCAGGUGGAGAAGGAGGAAAUGAUUAUUUGCUUUUGCCUAGAAAUAUGAGUCUGUUUGGGUCUCUCGGGUUUCCAUAAAAAUGACAAAUCCAAACAAAAAAAAAAUGAGUUUGCCCUAACAAACAAGGUAUUCUGUGUAUAAAUAUUUAGGGGCAAGAUGUGAAUGCUAUGCUGGAAUUUCAAAAAUGGAUAAAAUACUGUUGGCAAAUCCUCAAUUGCUAUGAAAUCAAGCAUGAUACAGCUUGCUGAACAGAGAAAGAACAGUCUUCCUCCGAUGCCUUGUUACUCAAGAGUGCUGCCCUGCUUCCGGAUUUGCUUUUACCUACUUAAAAUAAACCCUGACUAAACCUGGGCAGGGUGGUACACACCUGUAAUCCCAGCACUGGGGAGGCUGAGACAGGAGGCUCUCAAAUUCAAACCCAGCCUGGGCAAUUUCAUGACUUAGCAAGACCCUGCCUCAAAAUAAAAAUAAAAAAUUCAAAAGAGCUGCAGGUGGGUUCAGUCCUCAGUCCUGAGAAAGAAAGACAGAAAGAGAAAGCUGGCUCAGUAGUGCUUUCUCCAUGCUCACAUUAAUAACAGUAAAUUCCCCGCUCUCUAGAGUCUUCUCUUUUUAACGAAUGGUGUCCGCAGCAUCGUUCAGGAGCUGUCAGGCUGCAGAGCAUAACAAAUGGGAUUGUGAUUAGAAAAUAAACUGGCCUUGGAUGAGGGACGCUGGAGGAGAGCCCGGAAGUGAAGCCAAGGGCAGUUCCUCAGGCCCUGGGCACUGCUGUCCCGCCUGAGACCUCUUUCUGCUCUCUACCUCCCCAGAUCCCACUGCAGAAACCACAGCUUCCCGCUGAGCAACUGGCGCAAGCCCAGGGCCCCCUCCAGCUUUCCAAAGGCUUCCAGAAAACAGCUCUUUGCUUCAUUGGAAUCCUGGAAACAAACUGUUCUACCAAGGGUUAAAUCUGUAAUAGUUGCUGGAUACUGUGGCACAUGCCUGGCAUCCCAGCACUCUGGGAGGCUGAGGCAGGAGGAUCGCAAAUGUAAACCUGGUCUGGGGAACUCAGGGACUUAGCAAGACCCUGUCUGAAAAUCAAAAAGGCUGAGGGUGAAACUCAGUAGGAAGAACAUGGGUUCAAUCCCCAGUGCCACAAAACAAUUUGUAGUGGUUAAGCUAUUACUGCAAUAACACUAGGACUUUCAAUUUGAGGUAUUUGUAAAAUGUUUUUUGGUUUAUUGAUACAGGUCUCACAGUUCAGGCUGGCCUUCAACUCUCUAUGUAGCCCAGGCUAGCUUUGAACUCACAGUAAUCCUCCUGCCUCAGCCUCCUGACUGCUAGAAUCACAGGUGUGUGCCACCAUGCCCAGCUAUGGAAUUUUCUUUAUAAUAAAGAC
ensembl:lncRNA